GGGAGUGGAGAUCAUGUUAUUUGUAGAAGAGCGGUGGUUUUGGCUGUUGAAAUAACCGGGAGUUGCAGCCCAUGGUGGAGGGGGAUAUGCGGAUGUGUAUUGAGGCCGGAAAUAUGGUUGGUAUUGAGGUUGUCCGAAUGACUGGUGCGGUGACUGGGACUGGGAUGGUGAUUGGGGUUGGAGUCGGAUUUGAGACUGUGUAUUUAACUGAUGAGGCUGGGAUCGUGCUUGGAACUGAUGUUGAGCCUGAGAUGGUGAAUUCGACUGAUUUUGAGCUUGUGGCUCAGUUUGGAACUGGGUUGGUUGUAGCUGGACUUGGGGCUGAGACGGUUUUUGAGGUUGAGCCCAAGGAACCACAUAACUAUUAUACGGCAGCUGCGCCUGACUUGCAGGGUAUGUUUGGGAAGCAUAAGGAUAUCCUUGGCUGCUAGGAGGAACAGGUACCUGAUGUUGAGAUGCAGAUGGUGGUGUGGGAGGGGCAUGCGGAGAGGAAGCCGUUGUUGUGGACAAGGUAAGGCUUAAAAGAUCAAUCAAGUCCUGUUCUUUCGAAGUUUUAACUGGUGCAGGUGGAUCAGGCAAAGCUAAAGCAUUGCUCGGAAUAGAGGUUGAGGCAGUUGGUGUAUACGAUGUCGUCACAUUGGCAUUACUGACUGGCGCAGUAGCUUCACUUGUUCCAGGAGAAGCGUUCUGAGGAGAUGUGAACUGUGCUCUGGA
rnacentral:lncRNA from 1 species